AAAUUACUCCCUCUGUCCCAAAAUUCUUGUCUUAGAUUUGUCUAGAUACGGAUGUAUCUACAUCCGUAUCUAGACAAAUCUAAGACAAGAAAUUUGGGACAGAGGGAGUAGUUG
rfam:Triticum aestivum genome assembly, contig: Triticum_aestivum_CS42_TGACv1_scaffold_132826_2BL